AGAGAGAGAGAGAGAGAGAGAGAGAGAGAGAGAGAGAGAGAGAGACAGAAAGCUCAAGAAUAACGUGUUAUCUACACAUGCUCUUAAUGCUAUAUUUAGCGGACGACAUACGUAUCUACACUAUAAUAUGCAAUAAAUUUUUUAUCUAGCAAGCAACACGUUCCAUAUAACUCGUUUAGUCGAGAAGUGACCGUUGAAACGAACAGUUCUAAGUUCUAUAAAAGUAAAAAAAAUAUUUAUUUUUGAGGAAGACAUAUAUACAAAUGUAUAAAUAGAUCCCAGAUAGCAAGUUGAUGUCUAAAAACGUUUUAAUUAUGUAUUAUUAACGUUAAAGAUAUCAUUAAGACAUUAUGAAUGUAUUAUUUGUUGUCAUUUGAUGUCACACUGUUAUCUGAGAUAGACAAAGAGGAAGGAAAGAUAUUAAAAUUAACUUAAAUUACACAUAAAUUAAGUAAGUAAAUAAAGAAAUUAAUAAACUAUCGUGUCUCACAAUCAUAAAAUAUGACCGUAAAGAAUCUUUAAAUAUAUGUAAUAAUAGUAAUAAAAAUAAUUAAUGAAAAUAGGUCGUUUUGUGCGAGUUAUGCAAUUUAACAUUUUAAGUGCAAUUUCAGAUCGCACCGAUAUAUAGAGUGAUUUUGUGAAAAACAAACGGUAUAUAAACAUGAUUAUGUUAGAAAUGAUCACGAUUAAAGAAGCAGCGGAAGAAGCUGGUGGAAAUCAGCAAAUCUUUGAAGAAAUGUUUAAUAAAUUCAGGCAAUGGCUACAGCAGCAGCUUCAUCUUCCGCAAGAGAUCACUGAUCGACGAUUACAGUGCACUCUUUUAUGUUCAAAAUUCGAUUUGGAGAAAGCGAAGAAACGUUUGGAUUCACUGUACACUCUUCAUAAUUUGAUUCCUGAGUUCUUUUCGGAUUAUGACCCGCUUAGUGACUCUAUUGCUCGGUUUCACAAAAGCACGAACUGGGUACCUCUACCAAAAUUAACACCUCAAAAAUAUAGAGUCAAUAUUGGUGGGUGGCGGAGCGAGGAUAGUUCCAUGUUUAACCUCCAGGAUGUGGUAAAGUAUCUUUUCAUGAUAACGGACGUACGUGCAGAAGAAGACACAGUUAAUAAUGAACUUAUUAUUUGGGAUUGUAAACAUCUUACUUUAGGUCAUAUGUUGAAGUACACACCAAGUACAUUAAAAAAAUGUGACCUCUGUCUGGAGGCAUACGGUUUCAGAUUCAAAGCAAUUUAUAUGAUAAACGCGCCAAGUUUUAUUGGGCGCCUUCUAUCGGUACUUAAAAUGACUUUGAAAGCAAAACUUUUUAACAGAAUACAUGUUUCUGAAUCCGGCAUAGAAUCACUAUAUGAAGCUAUACCAAAAUCUAUUUUACCGAUGGAUUAUGGCGGUGAUGAACCAUCAAUGAAAAUUCUAACAGAUAUACCAUAUAUAUACAAUACGAAGCGUUUCUUAGUCAAAGUGACAAUGGUGCAGUGGAUAAGGUAAACGACUGAAGAACCACAAGUCUUAGGUUCAAAUCUCAGCAAUGGUUAAGCAAAUUUUCAAGUCGUGCGAAUGGUAACUCACGUGAAGCCAGACAUAUUUAUGCAGGAAGAUAUCUCCAAUGCAAUUUACCGUUUCGUCAAACAUUUGCGAACAUUCACCUGUAUUUCGGAAACUAAACCGUUUAGGACACAUGUUUAUAUGAACUUUUUUACUUGAAAUAAACCAAAGAAUCACUCUGUUGAGUAUGGAAACAUACUUAACUAAUACCUUGUAUAUAUGCAGGGUGUCCCGCGUAAGACGUGUCAAAAGAAAAAUGUAAGUAGAACAGAUAAAGGUAAACAAAAAUUGUAGAGGUCAUUUUUCAAACAACCGAGAUAAAAUUUUGAGAUAUUAAUUAAAAUAGUUGGGCAUAUCAAAGCGCGGCGACGCGGCAGGCGGACAUACGGCUCGCCGCGACCGGCGCAAAAAUUCGAUGAUUGCUCGUGGACCUAUCUUAUAGGCCAGAGAGUUGGACCGUUUGGCAUAUGGAAAUGAGUAGCUCCGUGUGUGCGUCCGUGUACGUGUGCGUCCAUUUUCUUCGUCGUAUGUCGCCGUAUAUAUAAGGGUGUUUCACUUUAAGUGAUAUGGUCGAUUAUCUCGCGAAUCGAUGAUUUUAUUGAAAAAUUUUUCUAACGAAAAUUGCAUGGUUUGAAGGGAGACACAUGAUGAAAAUGUGGACUUGACCUUGAGCGACCUUGUCAAAAUCAAGUCCAGGUCAUAAAUGUUUUUUUAAAUAGAAACCCAUAUUUGUGUUACAUAUUCUUGUAGCUUAUCGCGAGAGCUUUCCAAAACACUGUAAUAAAGUUACGUGUUAUUGAGUACUUUCCGCGUUAUGGAGCUUGAAAGUUAAGGCAAGACCGAUCACUGAUCUUUCUGCUCUACAAUAAUUUCGUCCAGCUUCACCAAGCACAAGAAUAAUAUUAACGAUUUUAUUUGAACUAUAAGCGGACAUUUUGAAAAAAGCUUUGAAAAAGCUCACUUAAGUAAAAAAUAAAAAGAAAAAGCUACACAAAAAAAGAGAAAAGUUGAAUUGUUCAAUUUGGAAGGAUUGGACUCAAUUCCGUGCGCGUGAGAGUAUAUCAAGCAGUGCAGAUAGAUCGCGGAGACGCGCGCGCGUAAGAAUCUCGCUUACACGCGUAUGCGUACAUGGAUAACGCCGGCGGUACUGUAACUUUCAAGCUUCAUAACUCGGAAAGUACUCAAUAAAACGUAACUUUAUUAUAAUUUUGGAAAGUUCUCACGAUAAGCUACAAGAAUAUGUAAUAAAAAAUAGGAGUUUCCGUUUAAAGAAACAUUAAUGACCUUGACCUGAUUUUGACAAGGUCACUCAAGGUCAAGCUCACAUUUUCAUCGUGUAUCUCUCUUCAAGCUAUGCAACUUUCGUUUGAAAAAUUUUUCAAUAAAAUCAUCGAUUUGCGAGAUAAUCGACUAUAUCACUUAAAGUA